GCUGGCUGGUGGGGUAACGGCCCACCAGGGCGACGAUGGCUAGGGGGUCUGAGAGGACGAUCCCCCACACUGGUACUGAGACACGGACCAGACUCCUACGGGAGGCAGCAGUGAGGAAUAUUGGUCAAUGGGCGGAAGCCUGAACCAGCCAUCCCGCGUGAAGGAAGACAGCCUUACGGGUUGUAAACUUCUUUUCUGUCAGAAGAAUAAGCUUGUCGAGACGAGUGAUGCCGGUAUGACAGGAAUAAGCAUCGGCUAACUCCGUGCCAGCAGCCGCGGUAAUACGGAGGAUGCAAGCGUUAUCCGGAUUUAUUGGGUUUAAAGGGUGCGCAGGUUGUUUGACAAGUCAGUGGUGAAAGUCUGUCGCUUAACGGUAGGAUUGCCAUUGAUACUGUUGGACUUGAAUAUGGAUGAGGUAGGCGGAAUGUGUAGUGUAGCGGUGAAAUGCAUAGAUAUUACACAGAACACCGAUUGCGAAGGCAGCUUACUAAUCCAUCAUUGACGCUGAGGCACGAAAGCGUGGGGAUCAAACAGGAUUAGAUACCCUGGUAGUCCACGCCGUAAACGAUGAUCACUCGCUGUUUGCGAUAUACAGUAAGCGGCUAA
rnacentral:rRNA from 1 species